rnacentral:tRNA from 1 species
UCCUGGUUAGCUCAAUUGGUAGAGUGACCGCCUCAGAAAGGCGUUAGUCCCGGGUUCGAAACCCGGACCAGGAC